AUUGAACGCUGGCGGCAGGCCUAACACAUGCAAGUCGAACGAGUGGCGGACGGGUGAGUAAUGUCUGGGAAACUGCCUGAUGGAGGGGGAUAACUACUGGAAACGGUAGCUAAUACCGCAUACCAUCAGAUGUGCCCAGAUGGGAUUAGCUUGUUGGUGGGGUAACGGCUCACCAAGGCGACGAUCCCUAGCUGGUCUGAGAGUAUGACCGGCCAAACGGGAACUGAGACACGGUCCAGAGUCCUACGGGAGGCAGCAGUGGAGAAUAUUGCGAAAUGGGCGAAAGCCUGAUGCAGCCAUGCCGCGUGUAAGAAUGAGGCCUUCGGGUGGUAAAGUACUUUCAGCGGGGAGUCGUUACCCGCAGAAGAAGCACCGGCUAACUCCGUGCCAGCAGCCGCGGUAAUAC
rnacentral:rRNA from 1 species